rnacentral:rRNA from 1 species
UACAGAGGUGGCAAGCGUUGUUCGGAAUUACUGGGCGUAAAGGGCGCGUAGGCGGUUCGUUAAGUCCUGUGUGAAAUCCCCGGGCUCAACCUGGGAACUGCAUUUGUGACUGCAAGGCUAGAGUACGGUAGAGGGGGAUGGAAUUCCGCGUGUAGCAGUGAAAUGCGUAGAUAUGCGGAGGAACACCGAUGGCGAAGGCAAUCCCCUGGACCUGUGACUGACGCUCAUGCACGAAAGCGUGGGGAGCAAACAGG